rnacentral:rRNA from 1 species
UCCUACGGGACGCAGCAAUUAGGAAUCUUGCGCAAUGGGCGAAAGCCUGACGCAGCGACGUCGCGUGACCGAUGAAGUCCUUCGGGAUGUAAAGGUCUUUUUUGGGGGAAGAAGGAUGUGACGGUACCCCAAGAAUAAGCCCCGGCUAACUACGUGCCAGCAGCCGCGGUAAUACGUAGGGGGCGAGCGUUGUCCGAAUUCACUGGGCGUAAAGCGCGCGUAGGCGGACCAUUAAGUUGGGGGUGAAAUCCCGAGGCUCAACCUCGGAACUGCCUCCAAAACUGGUGGUCUUGAGGUAUGGAGAGGGAAGUGGAAUUCCUGGUGUAGCGGUGAAAUGCGUAGAUAUCAGGAGGAACACCUGUGGCGAAGGCGGCUUCCUGGCCAUAUCCUGACGCUGAGGUGCGAAAGCUAGGGGAGCGAACGGGAUUAGAUACCCCGGUAC